UACGUAGGGUGCGGAGCGUUAAUCGGAAUUACGUGGGCGUAAAGCGUGACGCAGGCGGUUUUGUAAGCCAGGUGUGAAAUCCCCGGGCUCAACCUGGGAAUGGCAUUUGGGACUGCAAGGCUGGAGUGCGGCAGAGGAGACUGGAAUUCCUGGUGUAGCAGUGAAAUGCGUAGAUAUCAGGAGGAAUACCGAUGGCGAAGGCAGGUCUCUGGGCUGACACUGACGCUCAUGCACGAAAGCGUGGGGAG
rnacentral:rRNA from 1 species